AUUGAACGCUGGCGGCAGGCUUAACACAUGCAAGUCGAGCGGGGGAAGGUAGCUUGCUACCGGACCUAGCGGCGGACGGGUGAGUAAUGCUUAGGAAUCUGCCUAUUAGUGGGGGACAACAUCUCGAAAGGGAUGCUAAUACCGCAUACGUCCUACGGGAGAAAGCAGGGGAUCUUCGGACCUUGCGCUAAUAGAUGAGCCUAAGUCGGAUUAGCUAGUUGGUGGGGUAAAGGCCUACCAAGGCGACGAUCUGUAGCGGGUCUGAGAGGAUGAUCCGCCACACUGGGACUGAGACACGGCCCAGACUCCUACGGGAGGCAGCAGUGGGGAAUAUUGGACAAUGGGGGGAACCCUGAUCCAGCCAUGCCGCGUGUGUGAAGAAGGCCUUAUGGUUGUAAAGCACUUUAAGCGAGGAGGAGGCUACUCUAGUUAAUACCUAGGGAUAGUGGACGUUACUCGCAGAAUAAGCACCAGCUAACUCUGUGCCAGCAGCCGCGGUAA
rnacentral:rRNA from 1 species